rnacentral:rRNA from 1 species
CCCCACGUUCGGAUUGCAGGCUGNAACCCGCCUGCAUGAAGCCGGAAUCGCUAGUAAUCGCGGAUCAGAAUGCCGCGGUGAAUACGUUCCCGGGUCUUGUACACACCGCCCGUCACACCAUGGGAGCCGGGAAUGCCCGAAGUCAGUGGCCCAACCGAAAGGGGGAGCUGCCGAAGGCAGGCCUGGUGACUGGGGUGAAGUCGUAACAAGGUAAC